rnacentral:tRNA from 1 species
GGGGGAGUAGCUCAGUUGGGAGAGCGCCUGCCUUGCAAGCAGGAGGUCGGCGGUUCGAAUCCGCUCUUCUCCA